rfam:Ciona savignyi cont_28804, whole genome shotgun sequence.
AUUUUAUCGCGAAAUUAAUAUAAAAAAAAAAAAAGAUCAAGUGUAGUAUCUGUUCUUCUCAGUUUAAUACCUGGGACGGAAACGAUUCGUUUCCUCUAUGUAUUAAUCGGAUUUUUGAACUUGGAGUAUGGUGCUGGAGCUUGCUCCACCCUGCUCACGGGUUGUCCUGGUAUUGCAGUACCUCCAGGUUCGGCUCACGUUUC